AUUGAACGCUGGCGGCAGGCUUAACACAUGCAAGUCGAGCGGAGAUGAGGUGCUUGCACCUUAUCUUAGCGGCGGACGGGUGAGUAAUGCUUAGGAAUCUGCCUAUUAGUGGGGGACAACAUUCCGAAAGGAAUGCUAAUACCGCAUACGCCCUACGGGGGAAGGCAGGGGAUCUUCGGACCUUGCGCUAAUAGAUGAGCCUAAGUCGGAUUAGCUAGUUGGUGGGGUAAAGGCCUACCAAGGCGACGAUCUGUAGCGGGUCUGAGAGGAUGAUCCGCCACACUGGGACUGGGACACGGCCCAAACUCCUACGGGAGGCAGCAGUGGGGAAUAUUGGACAAGGGGCGGAAGCCUGAUCCAGCCAUGCCGCGUGUGUGAAGAAGGCCUUUUGGUUGUAAAGCACUUUAAGCGAGGAGGAGGCUACCUGGAUUAAUACUCUAGGAUAGUGGACGUUACUCGCAGAAUAAGCACCGGCUAACUCUGUGCCAGCCGCCGCCGUAACAC
rnacentral:rRNA from 1 species